rnacentral:lncRNA from 1 species
UAAAAGUGACAAUUGUUUUCUUGUGGGUUUUUUUGUUUGUUUGUUUGGUAUAAUUACCAACUAAGUCAAAUAUCUCAAACCAUUGUCUAUCUAGAAAUGUGGCCCAGGACAAGAUCAAACCAUCGUACAGUGGCACAAAUUCUAGCUCAUACUAAAAGUGCCUAUUACAGAACACACACUGUUCAGUUGUUGAGCAUACACAUCCAGCUGUUGGAUGUAUGCCUGGAUCCAAAAUGCUCAAAUUGGUUGCUCAAAACAGAAAUCAAAAAGAAGGUAAGAGAGAAAAGAAGAAGAUGAAGAAUUCUGCAAGAGAAAGUAGAGGCAGAGAAAGAAAGGAGAAAAAGAGGAAAUACCAUGGCAGAGAUGAGUCAACAGAUCAUUCCAGGAAAGAAUUUGCUGUGAAAUUAGUUUUGAGAUCAACAUUUGAAAAAGAGAAAAGACAGAUCUGUUUUUUCCUACUCAAAAGGAGUGGAGUGAAAUCCAAGUCCUCCAAAAAAGAGACGGAAUGCUGUUCUACCUCACUACUCACUCCUACUCCAAACUUUAACUUUUGGACUCACAUCAUUUUUAGAAUGUUAAGCCAUUUUUCAAAGACAUUAGACUCCCAAGAGACCACGAAGUUACGACAUUGA